GGCUUUGUAGUGUGGUGGUUAUCACAGCGGAUUCUGAUGCCGCUUCCCGCGAAUAUCACUUCCGCUAACCCAGGUUCGAGUCCUGGCAAGGCCU